CUAGUACGAGAGGACCAGAGUGGACGAACCUCUGGUGUACCGGUUGUGACGCCAGUCGCAUCGCCGGGUAGCUAUGUUCGGAAGGGAUAACCGCUGAAAGCAUCUAAGCGGGAAGCCUACCUCAAGAUAAGAUUUCCCUAGGACUUUAUGUCCUCUAAAGAGCCGUUCGAGACUAGGACGUUGAUAGGUUGGAUGUGGAAGCAUAGUGAUAUGUGAAGCUGACCAAUACUAAUUGCUCGUGAGGCUUGACUAUACAACACCCAAGCAGUUG
rnacentral:rRNA from 1 species